rnacentral:rRNA from 1 species
UACAGAGGGGGCAAGCGUUAUUCGGAAUUAUUGGGCGUAAAGGGCGCGUAGGCGGCUUGGCAAGUGGGUGGUGAAAUCCCUCGGCUUAACCGAGGAACUGCCGUCCAAACUGCUUCGCUUGAGUCCGGGAGAGGUGAGUGGAAUUCCCAGUGUAGCGGUGAAAUGCGUAGAUAUUGGGAGGAACACCAGUGGCGAAGGCGGCUCACUGGACCGGUACUGACGCUGAGGCGCGAAAGCUAGGGGAGCAAACGGG